AUGACAAGUGGUGCCCAAACAGGGACUCGGUAUUCAAGGUCUCCUGUGUUGGAUUCGGUCAGUGGGGAGUGCUGCAAUGGUAGACAACUCCCUUUCCACCAGUUUUUGGAUCCUUCAAGAAGUCAGCUAAACUAUCCACCCUUCGGCCAGCCUGCCUGUCCGUCGGGGGAUCCCGCCUUCAGCUCCGCCCUGUCUCCCUUGUCUCCCUUGCAGUGCGCCCUUUCCACCGCGGGCCACUCGCAGGCACUGGGCCCUGGCAGCAGCGCCCGUGCCGGCACCGAGAGGCCCCGGCAGGUGGGGGACAGCGAUCGUCUCCCCCCUUUCAGCCGCACGGCUUUGCAGCCACCGACAGCUCCGGGGCGGGGUGGCGCUGCCACCGCCGGCGAGCGAGCGCUGCAUCUGUNNNNNNNNNNNNNNNNNNNNGCCCCGGGCGGCGCUGCUGCCGCGGCCCCCGCGCUCGGCUGUCCCCCGACAGCCCCCACAGAAACGGGGGCACAGCGCGGCCGAGCCCCUUUGGAGCGGAGCGGGGCCGCGCUCCCGCCGCAGCUCAAACUCAGCACCGCCUCCGACCAACUCUGCUGCUUGGCAACCAGCAUCUGCCGCCGGGCUGUGAAUUUUGGAUUCACAGAGAACCGCCUGGCUUUGAGCGUGACCUACACAGCUGUAAUGAAGUUUUCCAAUGUCAGGAGAAAUUUCAUUCAGAACCAGUACUUGGAAUAUUCAAGAUCCUGCUCCUCACUGAAGGAGGAUAGUCCCACAACCGAAGCAGCACAUUUGGGAGACGAUGGAAAACAUCACAGAUUCCCUGCUGCUAGUGCCUGGACAUGGCUGCAAGGACUUUGAGGGCAUGUGUUGCAUGAACUUUCCAGCCACAGUGGGUCAAUACACAGGAGCAUCCAAGUACUGAAGGAAGUGAGUAAAGAAGUCACAAGUUGAAAAUGGAAAUGACUGGUUGAGUGGACUUUUCAAAAACUGGGGUUUGCACCUAGGUUGCUAUCAUUGGUUAAAACAGGUUUGCUUGUUCUUACAGUUAUUUUUGUUGUAUUGUUAAUGUUACCUUGCUUAAUAACUUUUUUUUAAGGGUUGUCAGGAAGUCUAUUCAAGAAAUUUUAAUUGCUCAAAAGGAAGGGGGAUAUGUAGAGAUGGAAUUGGCUUGGCAUCAGCUUAAGACUGUGAGAUGUUAGCAAGCCUGUUCAUAUAAGGUUAUGCUUCCAGAAUGUUCUUAGUUCUCAUCCCUGAUCGAUUGUCGUUUGGCACAUUAUUUUUAAUACUCAUAAUCUCAGUCUGUGAUUGAACCCUGCCUCCAGAUCCACCUCAGAUCUUCCUUACAUAUAUUGUUGUAGCCAUGUUUUUUGCACCUUUUGUGGUUGACCCUAUGCUGUGUGUUUGCCUUCUGCUGUUUGUUAUCUUGCCAUUAAAGCAAUUUUACUUUUCGGGUCACCCAACCGUGCCCGUCCUGUUUAUUUGCCACACCACUCCUGGCUGGCCUGGGUCCAGGGUUGUGAAGCCAAAACUUGACACAAAAUCUUAAGAGUAUCAAUAUUUAGGUGUCAUAGGAUGCUCUUAAGAUGUACAACUCCUUCCUUCAUCUUUUUCCAUGUGUAUGCCAAUAUUGCAUCCCUGUGCUGCACUGCUCAUCCUCAUCCCACAAAGGCCUUUCUCUUCCAUCCCCCUCCAGCUCAGACUCAGCACUCAUUCCCCAAAGCUGAGUGGAGUGACCUGGAGAACGUGAGGACACCCUAAUUCACCUGUUAAUAAGAGAUAAAGAACAUGUACAUACCCUUCCUAUAGGUUUUCCUCAAGUCCAUACUUGCUUUCUUUCAACACACCUUGGAUAUGCCAGCUUUCCUCUCUUACACUGUACUUGAAAUAAAGUUGUGCCAGAUUCUGCUCCA
rnacentral:lncRNA from 1 species